rnacentral:rRNA from 1 species
CAGCAGCCACGGGAAUACGGAGGGGGCUAGCGUUGUUCGGAAUUACUGGGCGUAAAGCGUACGUAGGCGGCUUUGUAAGUUAGAGGUGAAAGCCUGGUGCUCAACACCAGAACUGCCUUUAAGACUGCAUCGCUUGAACGUCGGAGAGGUGAGUGGAAUUCCGAGUGUAGAGGUGAAAUUCGUAGAUAUUCGGAAGAACACCAGUGGCGAAGGCGGCUCACUGGACGACUGUUGACGCUGAGGUACGAAAGCGUGGGGAGCAAACAGGAUUAGAUACCCGCGUAGUCCCUGUCUCUUAUAC